rnacentral:rRNA from 1 species
UACUUGGUGGCGACCGGCGCACGGGUGAGUAACGCGUAUGCAACCUACCUAUCAGAGGGGAAUAACCCGGCGAAAGUCGGACUAAUACCGCAGUAAAACAGGGGCACCGCAUGGUGAUAUUUGUUAAAGAAAUUCGCUGAUAGAUGGGCAUGCGUUCCAUUAGGUAGUUGGUGAGGUAACGGCUCACCAAGCCGACGAUGGAUAGGGGAACUGAGAGGUUGGCCCCCCACACUGGUACUGAGACACGGACCAGACUCCUACGGGAGGCAGCAGUGAGGAAUAUUGGUCAAUGGGCGGGAGCCUGAACCAGCCAAGUCGCGUGAAGGAAGAAGGAUCUAUGGUUCGUAAACUUCUUUUGCAGGGGAAUAAAGUGCAGGACGUGUCCUGUUUUGUAUGUACCCUGAGAAUAAGGAUCGGCUAACUCCGUGCCAGCAGCCGC